GAAAGUUUAAACAUUAUUUAAAAUUUAGGUCAUAUUUGAUUUGGGCCAAUUUUGGGAGAUUGGAACGAAGCUGGGCCAAAGGGAAGUUGGCGGGCAGAUUGAAUUGCGGAACCCUAUUGUAGCGAAAUGUACUUUGGGAGUCUCCUGUGCCAUUUUACGGGGAAUUGAAAUCUUGGUGGUGGGUGUUGAGCUGAAUCAUGGCUCGGAAAUUCGGCGGUGGGUUGCGCCCGACUGGAACUCCCUCAGUGGGUUGGUCCUUUGUCGUCGUCGUCUCUUCGCUUCUCGCCGGCGCCUCCAUCGUCCACAACAUCUACAAACCAAAUCUUACCUUGCCUCCAGUGGAUAGUGUCCAAGCGACCAGCAAGAAAGACCAUGUUUAAAAUCAAUUACUUUAUAACUUCGUUUCUUUUCAGUUUCUGUUAUCGUUGAGCUCAAAUUGUUUUUCCACACGUUUUGAUGUGAAAGUUCUCUACUGUUCAGAAUGGAACAAUAGAGUCUUUGAAAAACGAUUCAUCUCGAGAGCUUCAAGUGUGUUGUAAAAUUCACAAAGUUAUAACUAGUGCAUUCUCCCUUUUGAUUC